UAGGGAAUCUUCGGCAAUGGGGGGAACCCUGACCGAGCAACGCCGCGUGAGUGAAGAAGGUUUUCGGAUCGUAAAGCUCUGUUGUUAAGGAAGAACGAGUGUGAGAAUGGAAAGUUCAUACUGUGACGGUACUUAACCAGAAAGGGACGGCUAACUACGUGCCAGCAGCCGCGGUAAUACGUAGGUCCCGAGCGUUGUCCGGAUUUAUUGGGCGUAAAGCGAGCGCAGGCGGUUAGAUAAGUCUGAAGUUAAAGGCAGUGGCUCAACCAUUGUAGGCUUUGGAAACUGUUUAACUUGAGUGCAGAAGGGGAGAGUGGAUUUCCAUGUGUAGCGGUGAAAUGCGUAGAUAUAUGGAGGAACACCGGUGGCGAAAGCGGCUCUCUGGUCUGUAACUGACGCUGAGGCUCGAAAGCGUGGGGAGCGAACAGG
rnacentral:rRNA from 1 species